UUACGGCCAUAUCACGUUGAAACACCGGUUCUCGUACGACUAGUGAAGUUAAGCAACGUCGAGUCUGGCCAAUAGCAAGAUGGGUAACCACUUCGGAAUACUAUCUACUGUAA